rnacentral:tRNA from 1 species
UUAAUUGAAACCAAAUAGAGGUAUAUUAUUGUUAAUAAUAUCAUUGAAUCAAGGAUUCCAAUUAAG